AAGGGCACCACAAGAACGCGUGGAGCAUGUGGCUUAAUUUGACUCAACGCGGGGAAUCUUACCGGGUCCGGACACACUGAGGAUUGACAGACGGUUAUUGACUUAUACUCGCUUAAUGGCUUUAAGCUGUUAAGUGUUUAACACCUUUACACAAAGAUGCUAGUCCUUUCAUGAUCGUUUGAUAGGUGGUGCAUGGCCGUUCUUAGUUCGUGGAGUGAUCUGUCUGCCUAAUUGCGUUUCACUAAGGUCCCAUUCUUCAUACGUAUGAAUAGCGUCUUAACUCACUUUUACCGCUACCUAUUUGUAGUAAGCGCUCAUACUAUUGGGACCGGAAUGCAACGAGCGCGACUGCACCACCUAAUUGCCCCUUAUCUACCAUUAAUUACUUUAUUAACCGCCCUGUACGGGCACCGGGGCCUUACCUUUACUGAAACUAGCUGGACCGCUGCUUUCCUUUAAGCCAGAGGAAGGUUGCGGCAAUAACAGGUCUGUGAUGCCCUCAGAUGUUCCGGGCCGCACACGUGCUACAAUGAUCAGCACAAAGAGUAUUACCUAUCUUCUUAUACCUAACCCAAUAUGUUAAACUUAUUGCGUAAAGGUAUUGUCUUAACGACUUAUCCGCUUUAGCGCUUUAAGAUUAUUGGACGGUUAUGCCUGCCUCGAAAGAGUGUACAGGGCAGCAAGAGUAAUGAUUCCCUCGUUUUUACUACUAAUACCGCGCUUGGUAACAUAUUACACUCGAUUAAGUAGGGUCUUUGCUUUUAAUAGCAAUUGCUAUCCUCACCCUUAGGCUCUAAAGAUAUUACUAUCUCUAAGGUCUACAGGGAGGUGUAUAUGGCGCACUUACUUAUUCACGGUGGGGACAGACCAUUGUUAACUG
rnacentral:rRNA from 1 species